rnacentral:rRNA from 2 species
AGUCAAUCUACCCUAUGGACGGGAAUAAUCUCGGGAAACUGAGAAUAAUGCCCGAUAGAACAUUAUGCCUGGAAUGGUUUAUGUUUCAAAUGAUUUAUCGCCAUAGGAUGGGACUGCGGCCUAUCAGUUUGUUGGUGAGGUAAUGGCCCACCAAGACUAUUACAGGUACGGGCUCUGAGAGGAGUGGCCCGGAGAUGGGUACUGAGACACGGACCCAGGCCCUAUGGGGCGCAGCAGGCGAGAAAACUUUGCAAUGUGCGAAAGCACGACAAGGUUAAUCCGAGUGGUUUCUGCUAAAGAAACCUUUUGCCAGUCCUAGAAACACUGGUGAAUAAGGGGUGGGCAAGUUCUGGUGUCAGCCGCCGCGGUAAAACCAGCACCUCAAGUGGUCAGGAUGAUUAUUGGGCCUAAAGCAUCCGUAGCUCGUUUUGUAAGUUUUCGGUUAAAUCCAUGCGCUUAACGUAUGGGCUGCCGGGAAUACUGCAUAACUAGGAAGUGGGAGAGGUAGACGGUACUCGGUAGGAAGGGGUAAAAUCCUUUGAUCUAUUGAUGACCACCUGUGGCGAAGGCGGUCUACCAGAACACGUUCGACGGUGAGGGAUGAAAGCUGGGGGAGCAAACCGGAUUAGAUACCCGGGUAGUCCCAGCUGUAAACUAUGCAAACUCAGUGAUGCAUUGACUUGUGGCCAAUGCAGUGCUGCAGGGAAGCCGUUAAGUUUGCCGCCUGGGAAGUACGUACGCAAGUAUGAAACUUAAAGGAAUUGGCGGGGGAGCACCACAAGGGGCGAAGCCUGCGGUU